CGUGAAUGUGGAGGAAGUGAUUAACAGAACUUUCCAUAAGAAGGCUCUCUCAAUACAUCUCCAAGCAAUGCCUGCCUGAACACCACCUGCUGCCAGAGAGUCUCUGUCCUUGGCCAGAUGGAGCUCCUCCACGCCAAUGGAGAAACUGCUCUGAGACAGGCCACCACAGCAUCUGGAGCCUCCCGUGAUCAGCUGCCAGCAUCCUUUAAUGAGAAGUCAUGUGUUCCUUGAUGUCUCUCCAGGAGUAGCUCAAUAGAAAGGAGAUGUUAGCCAAGAUGGGAUUUUUCCCAGAAGAAUUCUUUAGAAAAGUGCCACAAACCUUUACCUUCCACCUUGACAGUCCCCAGAGACAAACUGAAAAGACCUCGCUUAAUGCCUCAUCCGAAGGGUAUUUGCAAUGCUGGCUUCAUCAUUCAAAGCAGGAAAGGCCUUUGUCAUGGUCAGAUGGCUUUAAUGUGUUCUGAAUGCUACAUAAAUUCAAACUUGAUGGCUCAUUUAUUUGUUGGAUUGAAGUUUUAUACAAUAAACUAAGCCUUGGUAUUUACUAAUAACUUGUGCACUGCCCUUUGUUUGUUUAGAACAGCCAGAAAGCAAAGAAGUUGACCGAGUCCCUCAUGGCCAAUAUGGUGUUCAGAUCCUGGCAUUUCCUGGGACGGUUUAUGGAUCGGUGGGAGGCGGGGGGGUGGUAAGAGGGUUGUUUGUGGAGGGAGCAAGGGACACUGUGGGGAAAGGAGGAGAGGGGAAACAUUGUGGGUAUGGGUUUUAUUCCAAACAAAUUUGACAUAGUCCUACCACCCGUGCUUCAAUCGCUGAAUUCAGUGAGCUGGGAAUUCAGAACAUUGAGUGACAGGCCAGGCUUGGCUAGUGACUUGUGGCACGACCUUGGAAGAUUCAUUUUCCCCUG